rnacentral:rRNA from 1 species
AGUGAACGCUGGCGGUAGGCCUAACACAUGCAAGUCGAACGGCAGCACAGUAAGAGCUUGCUCUUACGGGUGGCGAGUGGCGGACGGGUGAGGAAUACAUCGGAAUCUACUUUUUCGUGGGGGAUAACGUAGGGAAACUUACGCUAAUACCGCAUACGACCUACGGGUGAAAGCAGUGGAUCUUCGGACCUUUCGCGAUUGAAUGAGCCGAUGCCGGAUUAGCUAGUUGGCGGGGUAAAGGCCCACCAAGGCGACGAUCCGUAGCUGGUCUGAGAGGAUGAUCAGCCACACUGGAACUGAGACACGGUCCAGACUCCUACGGGAGGCAGCAGUAGGGAAUAUUGGACAAUGGGCGAAAGCCUGAUCCAGCCAUACCGCGUGAGUGAAGAAGGCCUUCGGGUCGUAAAGCCCUUUUGUUGGGAAAGAAAAGCAGCAGGUUAAUACCCCGCUGUUCUGACGGUACCCAAAGAAUAAGCACCGGCUAACUUCGUG